rnacentral:Y_RNA from 1 species
GGCCGGUCUGAAAAAAGUGGUGUUUACAACUAAUUGAUCAAAACCAGUUACAGAUUUCUUUGUUCCUUCUCUAAUUCCACUGCUUCACUUGACUAGCCUUAA